GCAAGAAUUCGUCCUUGGCAGGUAUCAGAAGAUAUAUUGCUACACAUGAAUUUAUUUAGUUUUUUGUUUUCAUCCUAUAUAAACUAGAUCACUUUAGUGAAGGGACACAGAUUUGCUUCAAGACAGUAGAUCAAGAGUCAAACGAAAAUGCAAUUCCUGUUGAGUUCUGUACUUUUCGCCACAUUGUUGGUAUGCUGCCUCGCAACUUACAUUGUUUAUGACCACGCUGAUAAUUACCAUCAUCCUGGCUACCCUCUAGUUUACAACUAUGGUGGAUAUGGUGGACUCGGACACAGUCUUUAUAACUAUGGAGGACUAUAUGGUCAUAACUAUUUCAACAAUGUCUAUGAUUACCUCUACAAGAAAUAAAUUGAUUUGAUGGCAAACGAUUUGGACCCUAUUGCUGCGAAAAAUGAUUUCAAUGCUUAGACAGAAAAUUGAAUAUAAUUGUUAUAUGUUCAGCUAAAUCAUUGUUAUCUUUGUAUAUUGUUAUUUCUUGAAAAAAUUUACAUUAAUAAACAAUUGCUUUAAAAAUCUGAA